UACGUAGGGUGCGAGCGUUGUCCGGAAUUAUUGGGCGUAAAGAGCUCGUAGGCGGUGUGUCACGUCGGCCGUGAAAACCUGCAGCUUAACUGUGGGCGUGCGGUCGAUACGGGCAUCACUGGAGUUCGGCAGGGGAGACUGGAAUUCCUGGUGUAGCGGUGAAAUGCGCAGAUAUCAGGAGGAACACCGGUGGCGAAGGCGGCUCACUGGCCCGAUACUGACGCUGAGGCACGAAAGCGUGGGGAGCAAACAGG
rnacentral:rRNA from 1 species